UACGUAGGGGGCGAGCGUUGUCCGGAAUCACUGGGCGUAAAGCGCGCGUAGGCGGUCCCGCGCAUCCCGUGUGAAAGCGCCCGGCUCAACCGGGCGAGGUCACGGGCGAUGGCGGGACUGGAGGACGGUAGAGGCAGGUGGAAGGCCCGAAGUAGUGGUGAAAUGCGUAGAGAUCGGGCGGAACACCAGUGGCGAAGGCGGCCUGCUGGGCCGUUCCUGACGCUGAGGCGCGAAAGCCAGGGGAGCGAACGGA
rnacentral:rRNA from 1 species